GACGAACCGUGCGAAUGUUGUUCGGAAUCACUGGGCUUAAAGGGAGCGUAGGCGGGCUAUCAAGUCUGGGGUGAAAUGCCGCGGCUCAACCGUGGAACUGCCUUAGAUACUGACGGCCUCGAGGGAGAUAGGGGCAUGCGGAACAUUGGGUGGAGCGGUGAAAUGCGUUGAUAUCCAAUGGAACUCCGGUGGCGAAAGCGGCGUGCUGGAUCUCUUCUGACGCUGAGGCUCGAAAGCUAGGGGAGCAAACGGG
rnacentral:rRNA from 1 species